rnacentral:rRNA from 1 species
UACGGAGGGGGCUAGCGUUGUUCGGAAUUACUGGGCGUAAAGGGCGAGUAGGUGGCCAUCUAAGUCAGACGUGAAAUCCCCCGGCUUAACCUGGGAACUGCGUCUGAUACUGGACGGCUUGAGUAUGGGAGAGGAAUGUAGAAUUCCAGGUGUAGCGGUGAAAUGCGUAGAUAUCUGGAGGAAUACCGGUGGCGAAGGCGGCAUUCUGGACCAUUACUGACACUGAAUCGCGAAAGCUAGGGGAGCAAACGGG